AUUCUUGCUUGGGCAGUGUACAUGCUAAAGCUGGAAUGAUUCAGAGAAUAUGUGCAUGGCCCCUGGGUGUGGGUGACACAAACUGAAGAGGCAUUCCAUAUUUUA
ensembl:snRNA U6 U6 spliceosomal RNA